UUUGCCACAAAGUUAACAAAAUUUUCGCGGCGAACUUGAACGCAUGUGUGAGCCAAUUGCUCUUUUUAUGUGCACUCACACAAAAAUCUGUGCAAGUACAUGUCAUUACAUUUUCUCAUUGGAGCUAAAUUCAGUACGAAUUGUACUUUAUAGCGAAACGGAGGUGUAUAACGGUUUAACAUCAAAAAGCAAAUUGUUUUCAAACAAAUUAAAAAGAAAGAUAAUUACUACGGUCUAACUUUUUCGUUUAAUCAUACAUAUAUUGAAAACAGAAAAAAAUUUAUUAAAGUAAAAUUGUUCCGCUUCAUAUAAUUUGAGGAAUAUAAAUAAAUUAUAUACUGGAUAUAUACGUUGUAAAAAUUUUCCGAGCGGUCUUUUUUUCGCGAAAUAACUGACUAACAAACGUAACCUCAUCAAAAACUACAAGAACAA